GCACUCUGGUUUCUCUUCAAUCCCACGCACAAAUCUUUCGCCUUUUACUAAAGAUUUCCGUGGAGAGGAACACUCUAAUGAGUCUAUAGACAUUUUUUUGAAGCCCUACCUGACGGUGGGGCA